rnacentral:rRNA from 1 species
UACAGAGGGUGCAAGCGUUAAUCGGAAUUACUGGGCGUAAAGCGUGCGUAGACGGUUAUGUAAGUCGGGUGUGAAAGCCCCGGGCUCAACCUGGGAAUUGCAUUCGAGGCUGUGUAGCUAGGGUACGGAAGAGGGAAGCGGAAUUUCAGGUGUAGCGGUGAAAUGCGUAGAUAUCUGAAGGAACACCAGUGGCGAAAGCGGCUUCCUGGUCCAGUACCGACGUUCAGGCACGAAAGCGUGGGGAGCAAACAGG